GGUUCCAUGGUGUAGUGGUUAGCACAUCUGCUUUACACGCAGAAGAUCCUGGAUUCAAUCCCCAGUGGAACCA
rfam:Loxodonta africana unplaced genomic scaffold scaffold_139, whole genome shotgun sequence.